rnacentral:tRNA from 1 species
GGAGGAUAUGGCUCAGUGGUAGAGCAUGUGCUUAGCAUGCACAAGGUCCUGGGUUCAAUCCCCAGUACCUCCA